rnacentral:tRNA from 1 species
AAGGGUAUAACUCAGUGGCAGAGUGCAUGCUUUGCAUGCACGAGGUCCUGGGUUCAGUCCCCAGUACCUCCA